rnacentral:lncRNA from 1 species
CUUCCCAUAAUGUGGAAUCAGUGGGAGCCCUGAGCUUGUUUUCCUGCAACUGGACGGUCACAUCUAGGGAUGAUGGAAGCCAGGGACACAUCAUUAGGGAUGAGAUUCUCAUAAGGAGCACGCAACCUAGACCCCUCCAAUGUGCAGUUCACAACAGGGUUCACCCUCCUAGGAGAAUCCAGCGCUGCUGCUGACCUGACAGGAGGCGGAGCUCAGGCGGUAAUGCCAGCGAUGGGGAGCAGCUGUAAAUACAGAUGAAGCUUUGCUCCCUGGCCUGAAGCUCACCUCCUGCUGUGUGGCCUGACCGGUAUGUGUCUGUGGCCCUGGCGGUCGGGGAGCCCUGAUUUACAGAGCAGCCACAAUGAGGAAGACACUUGUGCUCAAGAACAAGGAGGAAGAGCAUUAAACUGUAAUCGAAGAAGCAGAAUUGCAAACUUGCUACUGACUCAGUCUCCAGGGCUUAACUUCACCCUUGGCAUCAUAAGUUUAGAGAGUCCUGAAGUUUUUUUUAACAAAAUGUAUAUAUGAGAUAGUUUGGGUGUGAACACAGCUGCUAAAUGUGUGAACAUAGUGUAGUGUGGUGCACUGUAAUGGUGUGAGAGGCAAGAGACCAGACUUCUGGGCAGCUAAAGCAGCAGGCCGGCAAGGCAGGGCACUGGAGGGGAAGAAGCUUAGCAAGAGUGGGGAGCCGAAGUCGAUGUAGGGUUCCCUGAAAGUCCUUGGCCUAGGCUGGACUACACGUGUGGGACGACUCUAUGGGUUUACCAGGAAGCGGCUGUUACAGAGUUGAGGAUGGCACAAAGACUAGAGGUCCAGUAGUGCUACAGGAAAGGACUUUCCGUUUUGUUUUCUUUUCAGACAGUCUUGUUCUGUCACCUAGGCUGGGGUGCAGUGGUUUGAUCGUUAUCUCAGUGCAGCCUAGAACUUCUGGGCUCAAGUGAUCCUCCCACCUCAGCCUCCCAAGUAGUUGGGACCACAGGUAGGUGCCACCACACCCAGCUCAUUGUCUUGUAUUUUGAUUAGAGAUGGCGGGGUUUUGCCAUGUUGCCCAGGCUGGUCUUGAACUCCUGGGCUCAAGCCAGCCACCCGCUCUGGCCCCCGAAAGUGCUGGGAUUACAGGCGUGAGCCACUGCACCCAGUCUGGUUUCUACAUUUUUAAAUGGUUAGGGGAAAAAAGCCAAAAAAAGAAUGACACUUUGUGACACAUGAAAAUUAUAGAAAAUUCAAAUUUCAGUGUCCACAAAUGAAAUUUUAUUAGAAAAUAGUCAUCCAUGGCUGGGCGUGGUGGCUCAUGCCUGUAAUCCUAGCACUUUGGGAGGCCAAGGCAGGUGGAUCACUUGAGGCUAGGAGUUCGAGACCAGCCUGGACGACACAGUGAAAUCGUAUCUAGUAAAAAUAUACAAAUUAGCUGGGAGUGGUGUUGUGCACCUGUAAUUCCAGCUACUUGGGAGACUGAGGCAUUAAGAAUUGCCUGAGCCCAGGAGGCAGAGGUUGCAGUAAGCUGAGAUCAUGACACUGCACUCCAGCCUGGGUGACUGAGUGAGACUCUGUCUCAAUAAGAAAAGAAAGAAAAGAAAAGAAGUCAUCAUGUUUGUACACCUCUUAUCUGUGGCUGCUUCUGUGCUCUAAUGAGAACAGCUGUGGCAAGGCUGUGCGGCCGGCAAAGGUGUCGAUAUUUAUCUACCGUCAGGCACUUUACAGAAAAUAUGUCGGUUCCCUUUCUCCUUCCUAACAAGGUUUGUCUUUUUACCCCUGGACAGAGGAGUCCCACCGAGUUAGACACUUAGAGAUGUGGGCCUGUCUUCUGGCUGGACAGGAAUAGCUCCACUCACCACACUUUUAAAUCACACACGUGAAACUACUCACCAU